rnacentral:rRNA from 1 species
AGCAGCCGCGGUAAUUCCAGCUCCAAUAGCGUAUAUUAAAGUUGUUGCAGUUAAAAAGCUCGUAGUUGAAUUUCGGGGUUCUACCGUUGGUCGGGCAAUUGUCUGUACUGGCGUGUGGAAUUUCUACCUUCUGGGGAACCAUCAUGUUAUUAAUUUAGCGUGGUGGGAAACCAGGACCUUUACCUUGAAAAAAUUAGAGUGUUCAAAGCAGGCUUACGUCUGAAUACAUUAGCAUGGAAUAAUAAAAUAGGACGGUGGUCCUGUUUUGUUGGUUUCUGAAUCACCGUAAUGAUUAAUAGGGAUAGUUGGGGGCAUUAGUAUUCAAUUGUCAGAGGUGAAAUUCUUGGAUUUAUUGAAGACUAACUUCUGCGGAAGCAUUUGCCAAGGAUGUUUUCAUUUAACCAAGAACGAAAGUUAGGGGAUCGAAGACGAUCAGAUACCGUCGUAGUC